GAGUCUUAGAGCACCAUUAACCCAGGUGCUUAAUGGGUUGCUUAUUGGGUUUUGGAUUUAAAAAAAAAGGAAAAGAAAAGAAUUAGAGAAGCAGCGAUGCUUAAUUAAGCCUCAUAAGCAGCGUGUCUUAUUGGACACGUGUUGUCCAAACAACGCUUCCCGUUCCUUUCUCUCGAACGUCUCUCUUUCUCUCGAUGACUCUGUCUUCUCUCUCGACCCCUCCUCGACGGCUCCGUGAUGAAUUGACGGUGAUCUCUCCUCAUCUCUCUCCCUCUACUCGACGCCUCUUCGCCGAAAUCGACGAUUUUCGAUUUAUAAACAGAGAGUGGUUUGAUUCUGACCUUCGCCAAGCGCAGCUCAAACCCGACACAGAGCCCAAGCUCCGUGAAGCUUUACCUGCUCUGACCGACUAAUUCAUCGGCGCGAUGAUGUCUCCUCUGUGGCGAUCGUAUGAUCCAAACCUCAUCCAAGAACCUACCGUCUACAGGUUGAAUGAAGCAGUGAUGUAUUUUGGUGAGAGUAUAAAGGAGAUUAUCAACGAAGAUUUCAGAGACGGCAUGUGAAAGAAAAAUCUAGUGAAGAUGUGCAGACCUCUCAACCGAGCGGAACACACUCGGAUCUUUCAAUUCAAAUACCGCCUAGACCAAUCCCAUUCGGUGGUGCCGGCCGUAUCCCAAAAGGCUCUCUGAAACAAGCGCAGGAACCCCUAAAUAAGAUACUUGCAUUGGAGGACACAAAUUUAAAGCUCAAAGAUUAAAGAACCCAAUGGGUAGUGCUAGAAAUCAACAAUAUGGAUGGCAAGGCAACCUUAGAGAAAGCUAAAAGACUCUGAUGUUGUGUGGUCUUUAGCUUGAUGUCUCAGAUGCAAUUGUGAUUACAGUGAUAAGACUUAUCUUCAAGAAAAACAAUAUCUUCUUUUUAUCAAGAAAAUAGUAUCUAUUUUCAUUUGUUCUCUCUGUAUGGCGUUAUUCCAAACAUACUGUACUGUUGAAAUUUCCAAAAAAAUCAUUGCACUCAGGUUCACAAACUAUUACAUACGGAAAGAAGCUCUUGGUUGUUGUAACAAUAGUUUUAUCAAAUCGCAUUAAUGUUUUUUUCUGUC